GAUCUGGUUUCCGCCAGCAGCGAACGCGCCCAUGCAUCUGUAAGAGCCAGCGGGCAGGCUACCGGCUGUAUAGCUGAUCGUAGAGUAAGGUCUCAACUGGUUCCCGGCUCUAAUUGUACCCGGGCCGCCAGAGCCUCCAGAUUGAUCUCCCGCCAGAAUAUACUGACCUACAGCGUCCCAAGCGGCUCCGGCUCUUGCGAU
rnacentral:sRNA from 1 species